GGUGGUGGGGAACUUGAGCCUCUAAUCAGGGCUACCAUGGGAAGGGUGGGGUCCUCAAGCAAAGGUGCUCUCCUGCAGAUGGUGGUGGUCGCUCUGGCUUUUACCCAAACGGGUGCUGGCCCACAUUCACUGCGCUAUUUCCACACUGCUCUGUCACGGCCUGGCCGUGGGGAGCCCCAGUAUAUCUCUGUGGGCUACGUGGACGAUGUGCAGUUUCAGCGCUGUGAUAGCAUUGAAGAGACUCCACGGAUGGAGCCACGUGCACCUUGGAUGGAGAAGGAAGGACCAGAAUAUUGGAAGGAGCUGAAACUCAAGGUCAAGAACAUUGCACAAAGGGCCAGAGUAAACCUUCGAACCCUCCUCCGCUUCUACAAUCAGAGUGGAGACGGCUCUCACAUCCUGCAGUGGAUGGUUUCCUGUGAGGUGGGGCCAGACAUGCGCCUUCGUGGAGCACACUACCAGGCUGCAUAUGAUGGCUCGGAUUACAUUUCCUUGAACGAAGACUUGAACUCCUGGACUGCAUCGGACAUGGUGGCUCAGAUCACCAAGAACAAGUUCGAGUCAGAUGGCACAGCGGAGUACUUCAGGGCCUAUGUGGAUGGAGAGUGCCUGGAGCUGCUCCACAGAUUCCUGCAGAAUGGAAAGGAGACUCUUCUGCGCGCAGAUCCCCCAAAGGCACAUGUGGCCCAUCACCCUGGACCUGAAGGUGAUGUCACCCUGAGGUGCUGGGCCCUGGGCUUCUACCCUGCUGACAUCACCAUGACCUGGCAGCGGGAUGGAGAGGAUCUGACUCAGGACAUGGAGCUUGUGGAGACGAGGCCUUCAGGGGAUGGAACCUUCCAGAAGUGGGCAUCUGUGGUGGUGCCUUCUGGAGAGGAGCAGAGAUACACAUGCUAUGUGUACCAUGAGGGGCUGUCUGAGCCCCUUGCCCUGAAAUGGGGAAGAUCUUCUCAGUCCUCUGUCAUCAUCAUGGCCAUCAUUGCUAGUCUGGUUCUCCUGGGAGGUGUGUUCAUUACUGUUGUGGUAUGGAAGAGGAGGGGUGCAGGGGAAAGAUGAAUCAGUUAUACUCAGACUGCCAGUGGGAACAGUAAUUAAGGUUCUGAUACUUCUCUCACCAUUUAGAAAGUUGGCAUCUCAUGCUGUCUCCUGUCAGCACAGCGUGACGAAGUGAGCAGCCCAGGCCAACCCUGAGGACUGAGUCUCUUCCCCAUACCUGUGUCUCCUCCCUGUCUCACCUGUACCACUGGGAGAUCUGGGACUUCUUCAUCCCUUGUGGAA